AGAGUUUGAUCAUGGCUCAGGAUGAACGCUGGCGGCGUGCUUAAUACAUGCAAGUCGAACGGGGAAUGUAGCAAUACGUUCCUAGUGGCGAAUGGGUGCGUAACACGUGGGUGACCUGCCCCGAAGUGUGGAAUAACAGUUCGAAAGAACUGCUAAUACCACAUGUGGUCCCGGAGGUUAGAGACUCUGGGUCUAAAGCAGCAAUGCGCUUCGGGAGGGGCCUGCGGUCCAUCAGCUAGUUGGUAGGGUAAUGGCCUACCAAGGCGACGACGGAUAGGGGACCUGAGAGGGUGGCCCCCCACACUGGCGCUGACACACGGGCCAGACGCCUACGGGUGGCAGCAGUAAGGAAUAUUGCUCAAUGGGCGAAAGCCUGAAGCAGCAACGCCGCGUGCACGAUGAAGGCCUUCGGGUCGUAAAGUGCUUUUCGGGGAGAUGAGGAAGGACAGUAUCCCCGGAAUAAGGUACGGCUAACUACGUGCCAGCAGCCGCGGUAAAACGUAGGUACCGAGCGUUAUCCGGAUUCACUGGGCGUAAAGCGCGUGCAGGUGGUUUGGUAAGUCGGGCAUGAAAACUCUUGGCUCAACUAAGAGACGCUGUCCGAUACUGCCGGACUUGAGGGUGUAAGAGGGAAGGUGGAAUUCCGCAUGUAGUGGUGAAAUGCGUAGAUAUGCGGAGGAACACCAGUGGCGAAGGCGGCCCCCUGGUACACUCCUGACACUCAGACGAGAAAGCUAGGGGAGCAAACGGGAUUAGAAACCCCGGUAGUCCUAGCCGUAAACGAU
rnacentral:rRNA from 1 species